AAAUGACAUUCACAUAACCUGAAACGCGAGUGACAUGUAAAUAAAUAAUAAUUGAACAAUUAAUAGUUUGUGAAUAAAGGCAAGGAUGUUGAAAUUAAAAAUGACUAUAUAAAAGCGAAAAAUUUCAAUACGUGUGGUUUUAAGUGUAUACAAGACUGUCAGACAAGUUGGAGAUGGCAGUAUCCACCGAAUUCACUUAUAAGCUUCUAAAGAAGAAUUUACGUUUAGUAAAUUUGCCCUCUGACCGUGAAUGGGGAUCGUUAAUGAAUGACAAGUUCUCCCACAUUGCAUUUUUGAACAUAGAGGAUGGAAUUACGAAAAGGAAAAUAAUUGUUCGUGAUAAUUUAAAUGUGGAAGUUUAUCUGCGGUAAGAAGCGUGUAAUUGGCUGCAAGUACAGAAACCAAAUAAUAUAGAAGAUGUUUCGAA